rnacentral:rRNA from 1 species
UACGGGGGGGGCAAGCGUUGUUCGGAAUUACUGGGCGUAAAGGGCUCGUAGGCGGCCAACUAAGUCGGACGUGAAAUCCCUCGGCUCAACCGGGGAACUGCGUCCGAUACUGGAUGGCUUGAGUUCGGGAGAGGGAUGCGGAAUUCCAGGUGUAGCGGUGAAAUGCGUAGAUAUCUGGAGGAACACCGGUGGCGAAGGCGGCAUCCUGGACCGACACUGACGCUGAGGAGCGAAGGCCAGGGGAGCAAACAGG